UUUGACAAUAAGUUUCUAAUUAAAUCAUGGCUGCGCCUGGGCAGCGUUAUUGUGAGAGUGAAAGUGGACGUGCUGCUACUCCCCUCAUUCCCAACAUGUAUCAAGUACCUGCAUUGAGUAAUGCAAGAGUGAGAUGACACAUCUCAGCAAGUAAAAUAAUAUCAAACAGUUUAACCACAUAAGAACGUUGUUUUACCACCACUUAAUUCCACAACCUUCUUAUUACGAAGGUGCAACACGUAUACAACGUACAACGCACCUAGUUACCACACCUCGUAGGUAGAAACCACAAUAGUAACAUAGUAAUGUCACACUUCAUAUAUUCCUCAUGAGUGCAAAUGUCUGCAAAUGCAAGGAUGACUUCUGCCUUCAUACCUCUAAGGAUAUGAAGCCGCAUCGUACCCCUCCUCGGGCAACGUACGAUGCUAAAAAUGUACCGGUACGGUCGGACCAUAAGAUCACGACAUAACUUCAAAAUGCAAGAUGGAUGAUGCGAUGUGCAUGUCAUGCCUACAACACUUCAUAUAACAUGAUUCAAAAAGACACUUCAACUUCAUCCAGAUGGGAAUCAACCACAUAUAUCAUUACCAAAUUAUGAUCAUCCACAAUAUUAGACAAUUGAGAAUUAAUACUUCCAAACAAAUAAACUUCAUCAUAGAAUUCAAUGAUUAACAUAAUUAAAACUUAUGCAUACUCAAUGACAGGGAAUAGGAUGCAAACCAAACGGUAGCAACCACCACUGUAUUUACUUGCCUUUACCGGAAGUUCGGGCAAAUCCCUAAGUACGAUCCUGAAGUCCACCACCUUGGAUUCUCCCCCUUUCCUUCCUCCCUUCUUCCCUCCACCAAAACGAUUGAAGACUCGCACCACGACGACGAUGAUCCGAGCGGCAAGGAUUGGCACCUUGGGAGGAGGGGAUUGAGAGGGGGGCGGCUAGGGUUUGGUGGCUGCAAGAAUUGAGAGAGGAGGAGAUGGGCAGGGGGGCGGCGGCCAAGGGGGAAGAGAAGUGGGG
rnacentral:lncRNA from 1 species